rnacentral:misc_RNA from 1 species
GAGUUCAUGCCCGAAAGGGUAGACCUCCCACCCUUGUGUAUUAUUACUUUGUUGCUUUGGCGAGCUGCCUUCGGGCCUUGUAUGCUCGCCAGAGAAUAUCAAAACUCUUUUUAUUAAUGUCGUCUGAGUAAAAAGUUUAAUAUUUAAAACUUUCAACAACGGAUCUCUUGGCUCU